rnacentral:misc_RNA from 1 species
GAUGAAGAACACAGCGAAAUGCGAUAAGUAGUGUGAAUUGCAGAAUUCAGUGAAUCAUCGAAUCUUUGAACGCACAUUGCGCCCUUUGGUAUUCCUUAGGGCAUGCCUGUUCGAGCGUCAUUUAAACCUUCAAGCUAAGCUUGGUGUUGGGUGACUGUCCGCUUCACGGCGGACUCGCCUCAAAAUUAUUGGCGGCCGGUACAUUGGCUUCGAGCGCAGCAGAAACGCGAACUCGGGCCCGUCGUAUUGGCUCCCAGAAGCUAUCUUCACAAUUUUGACCUCGGAUCAGGUAGGGAUACCCGCUGAACUUAAGCAUAUCAAUAAGCGGAGGA